UAUUGACUGUUUAGUCAGCUACGUUGUUGACAUUUUAUGGGUGGGUGCAACUUCCCUGUCAUGUGUAGAAGAUGCUGUGUCACAGCAGAUACCCUGGAUCUGUUUAAAACUGUAGAAUUAAGAAACAAAACCCCUUUUUACCGACCUCAGAAUCUAUUAGCUUUGUAGAUGACGAAAGGAGAAUAGCAGCCGGGGAAGUGCUGUGCUGUUAACACUCAAAGGACUUCCAGUUUCAACGGUACCUGUACUCAGCCAUGCUAAAUUGGCAGAGAGAGGAUGAAACCAAACCCAGAAUUUCAUAGCCCCUUGCUGUUCGGGUUAACAUGCAAGAAAUACCCAGGUUUUUCACAAUCCUGACAACAGGACAGCUUGACUUACCAACAUAAAUAAGAUUUCUGUCAGCAUCCAGAGAACAUGGAGUAAGUGUAAAAAAAUAACGACUGUGUCAGCCCGUGCUUUUAACCUAAGCCCAGAAACCAGUAGCUUCAGUAA
rnacentral:sRNA from 1 species